rnacentral:sRNA from 1 species
AAUUUGCGUUAGGGAUUGAAGCGGCAUCCUUUUUAUAAAUUUUUUUUAUAAAAAGAUAUAGCGGAAAGCCCGACCUUUA